UUAUAAGAGACAGCAGCCGCCACGGUAAUACGUAGGUGGCAAGCGUUGUCCGGAAUUACUGGGCGUAAAGGGCUCGCAGGCGGUUUCUUAAGUCUGAUGUGAAGGCCCCCGGCUCAACCGGGGAGGGUCAUUGGAAACUGGGAAACUUGAGUGCAGAAGAGGAGAGUGGAAUUCCACGUGUAGCGGUGAAAUGCGUGGAGAUGUGGAGGAACACCAGUGGCGAAGGCGACUCUCUGGUCUGUAACUGACGCUGAGGAGCGAAAGCGUGGGGAGCGAACAGGAUUAGAUACCCGCGUAGUCCCUGUCUCUUAUAC
rnacentral:rRNA from 1 species